UGAUGUCAUCUUGGUCACUGAUUCCACAUGUUUCUAUCAGAAAUUUUUUUUGGCCCUUCUAGAAUUUUAUGUUUAAUGAUAUGAGCAAGUAAAAGUGUCACGAUCAUCUAAGUUUCGAAAUAAAAGUGCCUUUUGCCUCUUAGGCUCAAAGUAUAUGCAGCUUACGUUUGUGUAUCUACAUAGUAUAUGUAUGUCCGGGCUACAACGAAGAGUGUGGUUGAGUUAUCACUACUUGGAACAUACAACUUUGCACCAAACUUCAACAGUUUGUUUUGCUAGAGACGUGUUAUUGAAAGGAACAAAUAAGGUUUCUUCCUGUUGCUGGUGAUGCAGGUGAGCAGUGCAGCUGUGCGGAUGUGUGGCAUGAAAGAAAGACACGACUGCUAAUAUGUCGUUUUUUAAGAAUAUGCUGGUCCUUGUUAACUUUGGCUGCAUUGCUUGAGUCUAAAUUGUUCCUCUGUUGGCUUUAUGCUGAAGUUCAACAAUUUAAGAGUUCCAAACGCACUUGUUCUGGAAUCCAGAAUGCUUAGUUUUGCUUGGCUAAAGAGCCCCUGGAAAGUCUCCCCGGUUCAACGCGUGCAAGGGACUGUGAGAAUUUUCGAGCAGUAGCAGUUACCACCUGUGUGGAACAUUCAAGUCACUACUUGCCUUUUGCCGUGGGACUAUAUCCUGGCAGUAUUAUAGUCUUCGUUCAAUCAGCGUAUAGUUUGCUUGUUCCAGAGGUAUGCAAUAUCUAUCUGCACAUAUACCUCGUAGUGCUGGAGUCAAGUAAUACGAUGCACUUAUUUUCUCUCAUACUUUUUUGUCAUAUUUGAGCAAUCAUUUGCGAGUGGCAGCAAACAACGUCCCGAAAUAUGGCAGGUUUUUAGAAAUUGAUGGUUCUUAUUAACUUUGCCAACAAAGUUUUGGUUCUGAAAAUGUUUUUAUGUUGGUUUUCAAGUGAUCCUCUUUUGUUUCACUCCCUUUCAACCAUCCAUUUUUGUAAGAUCUCAGAGAGGAAGUCUUCAAGGGUUCCUUGUCGCCCUAGAUUUUUUAUUGUCCUUUUAAAGCUGAAGUUCACCAUUUUUGGCCUUUCUAACACUUUUAUUGUAGUAAGAGAAGGUGUUUUAAUGAGGCAUGAGAGAGUUGCCUCAUUCAAGGGUGUCUAUUUUGUGGGAACCAUGUCCCCGAAAUCUUAAUCCUGCUUGGUUACAUAGUCCCUGCAAAGUAAUUCCAUCCAAAGUGCACAAAGAAACAUAGUUCCCAUGUUGGAAGCUAAUCAUGGUCUAACAUUAAUGUUCUUUGGUCUUUUGGUCAUGAGACUAAAGAGAAACUGGCUCGCUUUCCAUGAACUAAAUUAAUGUGGAUGUGUCAACAUGUUCCUUGAUCACUUGACUUGAAAUAAUCAUUUUUCAGUUUUUGGUGUAAUGUUUUUUAUGUUUUAGUUAAAAUAUAAUUAUGUUAAGAUGUUCAAAGAUUAUCCUGAUGACACCCUUUUCUC